AAAUCAGGUAGGACUACCCGCUGAACUUAAGCAUAUCA
rnacentral:rRNA from 1 species